UGGGGAAUUUUGGACAAUGGGCGAAAGCCUGAUCCAGCAAUGCCGCGUGUGUGAAGAAGGCCUUCGGGUUGUAAAGCACUUUUGUCCGGAAAGAAAUCCUUGGCUCUAAUACAGUCGGGGGAUGACGGUACCGGAAGAAUAAGCACCGGCUAACUACGUGCCAGCAGCCGCGGUAAUACGUAGGGUGCAAGCGUUAAUCGGAAUUACUGGGCGUAAAGCGUGCGCAGGCGGUUUGCUAAGACCGAUGUGAAAUCCCCGGGCUCAACCUGGGAACUGCAUUGGUGACUGGCAGGCUAGAGUAUGGCAGAGGGGGGUAGAAUUCCACGUGUAGCAGUGAAAUGCGUAGAGAUGUGGAGAAAUACCGAUGGCGAAGGCAGCCCCCUGGGCCAAUACUGACGCUCAUGCACGAAAGCGUGGGGAGCAAACAGGAUUAGAUACCCUGGUAGUCCACGCCUAAACGAUGUCAACUAGUUGUUGGGGAUUCAUUCCUUAGUAACGUAGCUAACGCGUGAAGUUGACCGCCUGGGGAGUACGGUCGCAAGAUUAAAACUCAAAUGAAUUGACGGGGUCAUAGCUGUUUCCU
rnacentral:rRNA from 1 species